GCCAGCAUGGUAUAGUGGUUUGGGUGUCAGACUUUGACUCUGGAGACUAGGGUUUGAAUCCUCACUCAGCCA